GAUGGGAUGGCUGAAUAAGGCGAUAAACUGUAAAUUUAUUUAUGAAAUUUUUUCUCUCAUCA
rnacentral:tRNA from 1 species